rnacentral:rRNA from 1 species
AACGAACGCUGGCGGCAUGCCUAACACAUGCAAGUCGAACGAGACCUUCGGGUCUAGUGGCGCACGGGUGCGUAACGCGUGGGAACCUGCCCUUAGGUUCGGAAUAACUCCCCGAAAGGGGUGCUAAUACCGGAUAAUGUCUUCGGACCAAAGAUUUAUCGCCUUUGGAUGGGCCCGCGUUGGAUUAGCUAGUUGGUAGGGUAAAAGCCUACCAAGGCGACGAUCCAUAGCUGGUCUGAGAGGAUGAUCAGCCACACUGGGACUGAGACACGGCCCAGACUCCUACGGGAGGCAGCAGUGGGUAAUAUUGGACAAUGGGCGAAAGCAUGAUCCAGCAAUGCCGCGUGAGUGAUGAAGGCUUUAGGGUUGUAAAGCUCUUUUACCCGGGAUGAUAAUGACAGUACCGGGAGAAUAAGCUCCGGCUAACUCCGUG